rnacentral:tRNA from 1 species
GCCGGAGUAGCUCAGCUAGCAGAGCGGCGCACUUGUAAUGCGCAGGUCGCGGGGGCGGAACCCGCCUCCGGCU